rnacentral:lncRNA from 1 species
UUUUUCUUAUUGAGUUAUGAUUAUCUAAAGGAUUAGGAAAUAUGAAUUGUGAUAAUGCUAUUAGGAUUAAGAUUUAUCUAAUUCUAUAUAAGGAGAUGUAUAUUGUGUUGCAUAACUUGUGAUUUAUGAUUUGAGAGUUUUGAGUGAUGUAUAAGAGAAAGACUUCUUAUUAAGAUUAAUUGUGAUUCUAUAUGGUUUGUGUGGAUAAGAAAUGGGGAAAUGAAGAAUAAAUCUU